rnacentral:rRNA from 1 species
GACGAACGCUGGCGGCGUGCUUAAUACAUGCAAGUAGAACGCUGAAGACAGGAUUUUGUUCUUCUUGGCUGAGUUGCGCACGGGUGAGUCACGCGUAUGUCACCUGCUUUGUAGCGGGGUAUAACCAUUGGAAACGAUAUCUAAUCCCGCAUAACCAUCUAUUACACAUGUCAUUUAUGUGAAAGUGGCAAUUUCUCCACUACAAGAUGGACCUUCGUUGUAUUAGCUAGUAGGUGAGGUAAUGGCUCACCUAGGGGAGGCUACAUAGCCUACCUGAGAUGAUGAUCAGCCAGCCUGGGACGGGGACACGGCCCAGACGCCUACGGGAGGCGGCAGUAGGGAAUCUUCGGCAAUGAGGGCAACACUGACCGAGCAACGCCGCGUGAGGGAAGAACGUUGUCGGAUCGGAAAGCUCUGUUGUAGGUCAAGAAAGGGUGUUAGAGUGGAAAGUUCAGACUGUGACGGUAACUGACAAAAAAGCAACGGCUAACUACGUG